ACACACACACACACACACACGGAAACACAUUUAAUGUUUGUUUUUGCAUUUUACUGGGGCAUAUUUUACUCUUUAAAGACAAGAAUCACAAUCACUGAGGUUUCACUCACAGCCAUUUGAAUGAGCUGUAAAACAUCAAUCUGGAAUUAUAAGUCUUUUUGUUUAUUAAUAACAGCACUUGAUAGUUAUGAUGUUUGUGAACUUGAAAAUGUUGAUUUGAUUGAUUUAUAGUAUAAUUUAUAAAUUAAGGAGCCUUUUGUACAUUUCUUUCUAUAUCUAAGGUUGCCUUUUGCAACAACAACGUGAACAUUGAUAACUGGUUUAACUAUGUUUUAGCUAUUGUGUAAGAUAAUCUUGAGUGUAUAUGUAUUGUUAUGUCAGGCUCCCCCUUAACAGCUACUUAGCCUGCCCUCAUGUUCAGUGUACUCUACAACAGGGAUGGAUGUUUCAGCUGUCUGCCACAAUGGUAGAUUUAUUUGGACACUUUGCAAAAUGUCACCUGUCAGAGCAUGAGUGUGAGGGGUUAAUGGCUGCAGCCUUGACAAGGCAAGCUUACAGGUUCCUCAAAAUCCAUCCCUGCUGUAUAGUCAAGUAGAGUUUGCACUGAGUUAGCACACUCAAAACAAUUAAAAAAAGCUUGCCACACAAUAACUCUGCGCAAUAACAGAGGGCAGGGUGUGUGAGGGCCUGUGUAAGAAACAAACAGGGUGCAUAUAAACGCCUACGAUGUCAAAAGAGUGGAGUACGUCAACGCAACAUCUCAGCUGGCUGCACUGUGUACCUGAUGUGUUUCCUUUUUUUUUAAAGAAUGAACUGUGUCAAGUUGAACAACGGUGAUGUUUUUUGACAGUUAUAGGAAGAGGCUGUGAGAGAGGGGUUUGUUACGAUGAGGACUUGUCAGCACAACGGAGGUGCGCUCUGUGAACCUUUACAUGUAACUCCAGCUGAAGAUCAGCUGUCUUUGCAUCGAUGCCUCAGAUCAAAGAUAUUGGUCAAACAAAGAAAAACAAAACUGGAGGAAAAAACAACUGCUGUAUGAAUGGACACCUCAGAAAAGGAGGGACUGACAAUCAGACUUCUCUCUUUCUCCCUCUUCUUCAAGUGACCUACUGUAAAAUAGAUUACUCAACCAACUUUCCUCUUCUAUGCUGCCUAUACUGUAUGUGAUAGUCUUAAACCUUGGUCUCUAGAAGUGCUACUUUUUUUUUGUAAAAUGAAAUAACAGCGAGAGGAAUGAACAAAAUACAUGUACAAAUGUGAAUAAGCUGCUGAAAGAAAUAUGCGUCGCUAACUGCUGUGUCCGAGACUGUCAGUAUCUAGAUGUGAUAUUUUCUUCUUUUUGUCUUAGAAGUGGAGGGCAGAGAAAUUGGGUAGCUGCGCAGGACUCACAAAUACAUAAAAUGACAUACAGUUGCCCCUAGAUUUGUUUGCUCAUUCUCCCGGUCAUGUGUGUGUGUGUGUGUGUGUGUGUGUGUGUGUGGAAAAGACUGAUUAAUGCUAGAGUGAGUCAGGAGGAGUCCGAAUUGGCUUGUUGUCGCUGUUCACCAAUUCAUGAUAAAUGACUUUACCCAGUCUUGUAGGACUGAGGUUGGCAUUUUGGCAGCUAAGAUUUAUGGAAUCACUCAAUUGCUUUAUUUAUGACAAAAAUACACCUUCUCUAAAGAGCUUACCUAAGCCUGUGUUUCACAGAAGUAUAUCAGCAAUAUUAAUAGAUAUUUUCUUUUGCCUAUCACCUCACUAUAUCAUAAAUAUCAGGCUGAGUUUGAGCUAAACGUGACUCAGCUAACAUCUCUCUCUCGUAAAGGUCAUCUUUAAGAUUGCCUUUAUGCUCGGAUGCUUCUGGAGUCUCUAAGCCCUAAAGAAUGUAAUACCACAAAAACUGCUUAACUACUAAAAAAGAAAAAUGAACUGUGAUUUGCUAUAUGCAGUAUCUCUGUUUUUCAGUAUUUUUUCUGUUCUGUGCUAUUUGUCUUUGUGUUUAGAGGGUUUUGCCACUGCCACCAUGGUAGCAAAAAAAAAGGAGGAUGUUGGAUGUUUUGUGGAUGGACAGAGGACAAAACAUUAUAAUGUUAAAGUAUGAAAGAGAUGUUAAAAUGUUUUUUUCAAUGCCUAGAAAUUUUCCUCAAAAUGUAAGAAACAUCUUUAUUGCAAAGCACACAAGGUAAUUAAAUGCUGAAAAUGUUCUGAUUGAAGCAGCCAAUGUCUGUCUUUGCAAGCAGGAUGUCGUUUAGUAUAAAUCAAAGAUUUUAAUGCCAACCAUUUGUGCUCUGCGGGUGAACACACACACACACACACACACACACACACACACACACACACACACACAGAAACACACACCAGAGGGAACUGUACAGUCAUACAGUUGCGUGAUGGAAAUGAUGGUGAUGAUGAUCAUAUGAUUUCUCUCUGAACGUGGACCAGUCUGUCGUGAUACAAUGUAAUUAAUAAAGUGUUAUGUUACAUCAAA